UACGUAGGGUGCAGGCGUUAAUCGGAAUUACUGGGCGUAAAGCGUGCGCAGGCGGCCUGCAAAGUCUGAUGUGAAAGCCCCGGGCUCAACCUGGGAACUGCAUUGGAAACUAACGGGCUCGAGUGUGGCAGAGGGGGGUGGAAUUCCACGUGUAGCAGUGAAAUGCGUAGAGAUGUGGAGGAACACCGAUGGCGAAGCCAGGUCUCUGGGCCGAUACUGACGCUGAGGAGCGAAAGCGUGGGGAGCGAACAGG
rnacentral:rRNA from 1 species